UGCAGACUGCUGCACUUUGAAGACUGAAGCUUAAUUCACUGGCUUCUUUGGAUCCCUUGUCACUAAGUCAAUUUUCAGACAAAGCUGCUUUGGAAAGAGCCAAGGAAAAGGACAUCUCCCCUUGGCCAAAUGAUCUAGGAGUACAGCUGAGUGGCCUUGAGGAGAAUCCAUGGAGCCCCAGAAGCUGCUGAACAUUGGAUUUCUGCUGUGUUCCAUGAGUUGCCUCUUGAUGGAGACUGUAAGUUCCUCUACAUCACCUUUAUCUGCCUUUGGAAUACAAGACAAAGCAGGAUCGAAACCACGCUCAAGGGAAAACCACGGGUUCUGGCUUAGCAGCUUCAGAGAUUACUUGUGGGAUUGCAUCAAGACCUCCAUACCUCCAGCAGCUAUUUUUGCUUUUCUUCUCUCCAUAGCCAUAAUGGGGACCCUCUGCUGCCUCACUAUUCUUGUAGGUGAACCAGUCCAAUGAAGUACUAGAAGAUUCAGUUGGGCAGAAUAUGCUAUUUGCUUACAAUGAGGAAGUACCUAUCAAUUAAAA
rnacentral:lncRNA from 1 species